ensembl:lncRNA LINC03048 long intergenic non-protein coding RNA 3048
AGCUAUGCGCCUCGUGCCUGGGAGCCUUAGGGCCACACGGAAGGGUAGAAAUCAGUUUCAGGUCAGGAGAGAUUCCUGCUCCCAGCCCAGGCCCAGACGGCAACAGAAGCUCAUGGUGAGUUCACCCCGGUCCUGGUCUGGCACCUCAUUGCUGGGGAGGUCUCGGCAGUCCAGAGGAGGUAGCCCCCACCCUGGGCAUCCAUCCGCCCAGGCCCCAGCCUCCGCGGGAAGACCCAAUUACAGAAGAGAGAAGUAUGUGGAGACCCUUGGCUGAGGUUGGGGGUCCUGGAAGCUGGAGGAAUGGCAGACUCUGGACAUGCUCCUAGAGAUGGGAGGUCAAAAUGAUCAACGUUCAGGGUCCCUUCAUCUCAGAGGGUCUCGAGUCACCUCAUUUAAAGUGUGGCCUGGGACACCUCCUAUCCAGCCAUACGCCGCCCAGGACUGGCUCAACAGCUCCACCCUCCACUGCUGUUCACCCAUGACACGUCACUUCCCACCCGCCACUGCUGGCUCACCUGUGACACCCCAGGCAGCUCAGAUGCCCGGCAGGUCCUGCUGGUGUGUGUUAGCCGGGGUCUCCAAAGAACCAGAGCCAGCAGGGGACACACCCAUCUCUGUAUCUGGAGAAAAAGAUCGAUGAGAAGGAAUCUGCUCCUGUGAUGAUGGAGGCUGACAAGUCCCGAGAGCCACGGUUGGCACCCUGGAGACCCCUGAGGGUGAUACCACCACUCCAGGCUGAAAGCUGGCAGGCUUGAGACCCUGGGAGAGCUGGCCCUCUGACUCCUGGGACUUCUUAUUCUAUCCUAGUAUUUCCUCAGCUGAGUGCAUGGGGCCAGACCACACUGGGGAGGGCAGUCAGCGUCACUCAGAGCACCGGGUCAUCUCAUGCAGAAACACCCUCAAAGAAAUAGCCCAAAUUAUGCUGACCAAAUAUCUGGGCACCCCGUGCCCCAGACAAGUUGACACAGAAAAUUAACCAUCACAGGUUAACUCCAUCCAGGAGUGGAAUUGCUGGGUCAUAGAGAAGGCAUAGGAAUUCACAGAAAUCACCAAACGGUUUUCAGGCGGUUGUGCCAUGUUAAACUCCCACUGGAAAGAGAGGAGAGCUGUGAUUGUUCCACGUCCUCAGCAACGUUUAGAAUAGGCAGUCUUUGGCCGGGCCGGGCACAGAGGCUCAAACCUGUAACCCCAGCACUUUGGGAGGCCAUAGUGGGUGGAUUACCUGAGAUCAAGAGUUCAAGACCAGCCUGGCCAACAUGGUUAAACCCCGUCUCUAUUAAAAAUGCAAAAAUUAGCCAGGCGUGGUGGUGCGUGCCUGUAAUUCCAGCUACUUGGGGGCUGAGGCAGGAGAAUCGUUUGAACCCAGGAGGCAGAGUUUGCAGCGAGCCGAGAUCGCGCCACUGCACUCCAGCCUGGGCAACAGAAUGAGACUCUGUCUCCAAAAAAAGAAAAAAUAAAUAAAGAAAAGUCAUUCUGUA